rnacentral:misc_RNA from 1 species
UCAAAGGCAAAUAUGGGCUGGCUGGAGG